rnacentral:rRNA from 1 species
GACGAACGCUGGCGGCGUGCUUAACACAUGCAAGUCGAACGGAAAGGCCCUGCUUUUGUGCGGUGCUCGAGUGGCGAACGGGUGAGUAACACGUGUGUAACCUGCCCUUGACUUUGGGAUAACUUCAGGAAACUGGGGCUAAUACCGGAUAGGAGCUCCUGCUGCAUGGUGGGGGUUGGAAAGUUUCGGCGGUUGGGGAUGGACUCGCGGCUUAUCAGCUUGUUGGUGGGGUAGUGGCUUACCAAGGCUUUGACGGGUAGCCGGCCUGAGAGGGUGACCGGCCACAUUGGGACUGAGAUACGGCGCAGACUCCUACGGGAGGCAGCAGUGGGGAAUAUUGCACAAUGGGCGGAAGCCUGAUGCAGCAACGCCGCGUGCGGGAUGACGGCCUUCGGGUUGUGAACCGCUUUCGCCUGUGACGAAGCGUGAGUGACGGUAAUGGGUAAAGAAGCACCGGCUAACUACGUG